GGGCCCAUCUUCCAGCACAGUGUUGGAUGGUCUACUUGUGAAGCUCCUAACACUGUCUGGUAAAGAUGGCCCC
rfam:Oryctolagus cuniculus chromosome 8, whole genome shotgun sequence.